GACAAUUUGAGAUAAGUCAGAAUCCCGAGGGGUAAGACCAAUCUGGCCUUUAGGGAGAUCGGAAGUCAUUUUCAGCAAGCAGGAGGUGGGCACUGCUUUAGCUGCAAGGGCUCGGCUGCUGGGAAGCCUGACUUCCUGGGCCUGCUCCCUCCUAGGGACACUUCAGUCAAUAAAGGGACCAGUCUGGAGUAAUUGCAGAUGUGCUUGGCUCUAAUCAUAAUAAUCAGUGUGAAACCUUGAUCCAGCCUGUGUCGAAGGCAAUGCAGUUUUCUUUUCCUUCUCCAGGGAGCAGAUGGGAAUUAUUACAACACAAAGAGCUGAAGGAAGAAGAAAGCCUGAGGUUUUGCUGUCCCUGCAACACUGGACACCUGUCCCCAGAGCAGCGGGACAGCACAGGUGCCGUGGAGGGUCCACCAAAGUCUUGGGAGCCAAAGGACUCAAGCAGAUGGUGGCACUAAGGCUGUGGAGUAAAAGGGUCUUGCUUUGCAGUUCAGGCUGGCCUUGAACUCACUAUGUAGCCCAGGCUGGUCUCAAGUUCACGGUCUCCUCCUGCCUCAGCCUCCUGAGCGCUGAAGUUACAGACAUGUGCCACUAUGCCCAGCAAUUUUAUUUACUUUUUUACUGUGAAUUUUAGAGCUGGAAAAGCAAUGAAAGUUUUUCAUCUCAUUCCCCUCCAAAAAAUGUGUUGCUGAUAUUGACCUUUAUUUACUCUUUGAUUUGUUUUUUCUGCCUGGCCUGCCUCAUCCUGCUGUCUUGAACACCUGCCUCACAUUACUUGUGGUCUGUCAGGAAUAUCUCGUUCAGUUCGUGUCCUGCCCAGCACCCACUCCCC
rnacentral:lncRNA from 1 species